UUAACUAUUUAGACUGUAACAUUAUCUGUAUUAAUUAAAACAUUGAUAGCAAUACAUCUAAAAUAUCAGACGUCUUCAAAUCAAAGAAAAUGGCUUCACAAAACAUCUCAACUAUUUGUUUCAUUUUAUUAGUUAUUUUAAAUAUCCGGGACCAGAAUCCUAACGGUAGACGCAUGAAAGAUCCUUAUGAUGGAUUAACCCAGCAACACCAUCUUGAAAUCCUGGAAGACCAAUAUCGUGAUAUAUUGGAAGAUCAGUAUCGUGGGGCUGGAUAUGUAACUAACGACCUAAGCGAAGGAGAAAGGCAAUCUACAGGAAUAUUUAGAGGAAUACUGAUGAGAAUGUAUUGUCGUAGAUGCAGGACCAGUCCUUGUAGACGGCGAUAUUGUUUGACGUCAAACAUGUUGGCCUGAUUUACUUGUCCACCAGGGUCCACCAACAGAACAAUUGUCCACCAUGAUCCACAAGAAAGCACUUGGGCACCAACAGAACACUUGUCCACGAGCAGAAACUUUCGAGUGCAGAUAAAAAACAAUAUCUUGCAGCUCAUGUAUAAUAUUUUCACAUGUAGAUUUACGAACUAAUUAACGCGAUAAUCAUUAAUUGUUUUAAUUUAUUGCACUGUAUACAUAUAUACAUAUUAAAUUACUUGUAUAUCAGCUGUC